rnacentral:lncRNA from 1 species
AAAUAUUCUCAGUCGUUGGUACAUUGAGUCGGGGAUCAAUGUUUACCGGCAAGACUGGCACAUCUUAUGUAUGCUCGUUUGCAGAGGGUGAUUGAUCUCACAAUCACUUAUGUGGAGAUACUAAUACAAAGAUGUGGGUACUCAUUAGAGGAAUGAGUUCACUGAAUUGACCUGCCUAGAGAAUAUCUUAUGAAGUCUUACUUACAUGUCAAAAGAUGAUUCUCUUAGUGGGAGUUGUGCAACUGAUCCUUUGACCUGAGAUCACCAUGGUAUCUUGUGCACAUGAAUCCAUAUUUUGGUUUACACUCAUUCAUGACAAUAAGUUGUGUAC